rnacentral:rRNA from 1 species
GAUGAACGCUGGCGGCGUGCCUAAUACAUGCAAGUCGAGCGAACAGACGAGGAGCUUGCUCCUCUGACGUUAGCGGCGGACGGGUGAGUAACACGUGGAUAACCUACCUAUAAGACUGGGAUAACUUCGGGAAACCGGAGCUAAUACCGGAUAAUAUAUUGAACCGCAUGGUUCAAUAGUGAAAGACGGUUUUGCUGUCACUUAUAGAUGGAUCCGCGCCGCAUUAGCUAGUUGGUAAGGUAACGGCUUACCAAGGCGACGAUGCGUAGCCGACCUGAGAGGGUGACCGGCCACACUGGAACUGAGACACGGCCCAGACUCCUACGGGAGGCAGCAGUAGGGAAUCUUCCACAAUGGGCGAAAGCCUGACGGAGCAACGCCGCGUGAGUGAUGAAGGUCUUCGGAUCGUAAAGCUCUGUUAUUAGGGAAGAACAAAUGUGUAAGUAACUAUGCACGUCUUGACGGUACCUAAUCAGAAAGCCACGGCUAACUACGUG